UUGCAUGCAGUAGCUAUUUUGCUACACUUUUACUUUCCCUUACUGGUGGGACUGUGGAAAAGAAAACAAGCAUGCUAGAGAAAAGCUCAUGGAGUCAACAGGGCCACCAGUUUCUCAAGCACAGGCUGGAUUGGUAGUAUAAAGCUCCAACACUG